AUUGAACGCUGGCGGCAGGCCUAACACAUGCAAGUCGCACGAGUGGCGGACGGGUGAGUAAUGUCUGGGAAACUGCCUGAUGGAGGGGGAUAACUACUGGAAACGGUAGCUAAUACCGCAUACCAUCGGAUGUGCCCAGAUGGGAUUAGCUAGUAGGUGGGGUAAAGGCUCACCUAGGCGACGAUCCCUAGCUGGUCUGAGAGGAUGACCAUCCAACUGGGACAUGAGACAGGGUCCAGACUCCUACGGGAGGAAGCAGUGGGGAAUAUUGCACAAUGGGCGCAAGCCUGAUGCAGCCAUGCCGCGGGUAUGAAGAAGGCCUUCGGGUUGUAAAGUACUUUCAGCGGGGAGGCGUUACCCGCAGAAGAAGCACCGGCUAACUCCGUGCCAGCAGCCGCGGUAAUUC
rnacentral:rRNA from 1 species